rnacentral:rRNA from 1 species
AGAGUUUGAUCAUGGCUCAGGACGAACGCUGGCGGCGUGCCUAACACAUGCAAGUCGAACGGGGUCCAUGAGAGCUUGCUCUCGGAAGACCUAGUGGCGAACGGGUGAGUAACACGUGAGAAACCUGCCUCGGAGUGGGGAAUAACUCGGGGAAACCCGAGCUAAUACCGCAUACCCUCAGAUGGUCGCAUGGCCGACUGAGGAAAGAAUUUCGCUCUGAGAGGGUCUCGCGGCCUAUCAGCUAGUUGGUGGGGUAACGGCCUACCAAGGCAGCGACGGGUAGCUGGUUUGAGAGAACGAUCAGCCACACUGGGACUGAGACACGGCCCAGACUCCUACGGGAGGCAGCAGUGGGGAAUCUUGCGCAAUGGGCGAAAGCCUGACGCAGCAACGCCGCGUGCGGGAUGACGGCCUUCGUGGUUGUAAACCGCUUUCAGCAGGGACGAAAAUGACGGUACCUGCAGAAGAAGCCCCGGCUAACUACGUGCCAGCAGCCGCGGUAAUACGUAGGGGGCGAGCGUUGUCCGGAUUCAUUGGGCGUAAAGAGCUCGUAGGCGGUUCAGUAAGUCAGGUGUGAAAGCUCCGAGCUCAACUCGGAGAGGCCACUUGAUACUGCUGUGACUAGAAUCCAGUAGGGGAGCGUGGAAUUCCUGGUGUAGCGGUGAAAUGCGCAGAUAUCAGGAGGAACACCAGCGGCGAAGGCGGCGCUCUGGGCUGGAAUUGACGCUGAGGAGCGAAAGUGUGGGUAGCAAACAGGAUUAGAUACCCUGGUAGUCCACGCCGUAAACGAUGGAUACUAGCUGUUUGGCAGCAAUGCUGAGUGGCUAAGCGAAAGUGAUAAGUAUCCCACCU